rnacentral:rRNA from 1 species
UGGCGAACGGGUGAGUAACACGUGGGUAACCUGCCCAUCAGAAGGGGAUAACACUUGGAAACAGGUGCUAAUACCGUAUAACACUAUUUUCCGCAUGGAAGAAAGUUGAAAGGCGCUUUUGCGUCACUGAUGGAUGGACCCGCGGUGCAUUAGCUAGUUGGUGAGGUAACGGCUCACCAAGGCAACGAUGCAUAGCCGACCUGAGAGGGUGAUCGGCCACACUGGGACUGAGACACGGCCCGGACUCCUACGGGAGGCAGCAGUAGGGAAUCUUCGGCAAUGGACGAAAGUCUGACCGAGCAACGCCGCGUGAGUGAAGAAGGUUUUCGGAUCGUAAAACUCUGUUGUUAGAGAAGAACAAGGAUGAGAGUAAAACGUUCAUC